AUGAGACAACCACCUGGGUAUGAGAGUAAGAAAUUGCCACAGUAUGUCUGCAAGCUUGAUAAAGCACUCUAUGGUCUAAAGCAAGCACCCAGAGCAUGGUAUUCCAGAUUGAGCUCACAGUUAAAAUAUCUUGGCUUUGUUGCUUCCAAGGCUGACACAUCCUUGUUUAUUUAUAACAAGGCAGGAGUAGUCAUUUUUGUGCUUAUAUAUGUUGAUGAUAUCAUAGUUGCAAGUUCUUCACAAAAUGCUACUAAUGCUCUUUUGCAUGAUUUGAGCUCAGAGUUUGCCUUGAAGGACCUAGGUGAUUUGCAUUUCUUCUUGGGUAUUGAAGUCAAGAAAACUCAAGAUGGUAUUGUGUUAAAUCAGGAAAAAUAUAUUCUUGAGCUUCUGUCUCGCAUGGGGAUGAAAAAUUGCAAGCCAAUGUCUACACCUUUAUCCUCCUCAGAAAGUCUCUCAGCAUAUGAGGGUGAGCCACUUCAAGAGGAGGAGAGUACAAGGUAUAGGAGUACUGUGGGAGCACUAUAA
rnacentral:rRNA from 1 species